rnacentral:lncRNA from 1 species
CUGGGAGCCUGGGCAGGGAGCUAAGUUUGGCCCGAGAACCACAGAGGCAGGCACAUAAUGCGAAGCGUUGAGGUUUAUUUGAGCCUCUGCGCCCUUUGCCUGUUUAAGGAAGCGCUAUCAGGUAACAGUGAGUUAGAACAGGCAAGUCCCUGCUCAAGGGCUCUUAGAGUCCACCUGCUCAGACCGUUUGCCGCCGCUGAAGCCUCUCCAGUGGUGGUCACUCUUUAUCACAGGAAGGAUGAGUCAUGACUGCCAAGCUCUUUACACACUGCAGCUGAAACCAGCCCCUCAACACGCUGCUGCUGAAUGAAUAAAGCAGAGUGAUCAGGUCUGAAGGAGCUCCCCCCUCCCGGGGGCGGGGGGGGGGAACACUAGAGGGAAGAGUCCAGGAUGGAACUGGGGUCCCCCUGGGCUGAGUGGGAUGGCAGAGAUUUAGGGAAGGGAAGGAAAAUUAAAAGUUAAUGAACAAGAGUAGAGAGUUCUUCUUGGUUUUGUUCUCAGUACUUGCAGAAUACCGGUUCUGAUUACCUGAAGGUUUUCUUUCCUUUUUUUUUUUUUUUCCCCUAAAACAAC